CUGAGGAGUCAAUGGAUUACUAUAAUGAGAAAUGAUGUGUUGAUGGAAAAGGACUUGUUCUGCCCAGUCAGAUUGUAAAGUCAGCUUUGCUAUGUGCUAGUUCGGCUAAAAAUUGGGGAUUCUGGAGUAUUACACUCUUGCUUCUUCUUGUUUUAUGUCUUAACCUCUUACUUCAUCUUUUGUUUAAAGGUAUGUCAAAUAUUAUAUAUGGAGGGAGCAAAUCCAGUUUCAAGUGCACAAGGAAGCACGUCAGAAAAUUCAGUUUUCUUCAAGGACUUGAAACAGAUUCAGCAACUGUGAAAAAAAAAUCAGACAAGCGAUUGACAACCAAACUGAAGUUACUGUACAACUCAUUAAUUAUACAAA